UACGUAGGGGGCAAGCGUUGUCCGGAAUUAUUGGGCGUAAAGCGCGCGCAGGCGGCCUUGUAAGUCUGUCGUUUAAACUCGGAGCUCAACUUGAGUCGCGAUGGAAACUGCAAAGCUUGAGUGCAGAAGAGGAAAGUGGAAUUCCACGUGUAGCGGUGAAAUGCGUAGAGAUGUGGAGGAACACCAGUGGCGAAGGCGACUUUCUGGGCUGUAACUGACGCUGAGGCGCGAAAGCGUGGGGGAGCAAACAGG
rnacentral:rRNA from 1 species